rnacentral:rRNA from 1 species
AGAUCGAACUAUAGAGUUUGAUCCUGGCUCAGAUUGAACGCUGGCGGAAUGCUUUACACAUGCAAGUCGAACGGCAGCACGG